UAUACACAUUUUUCCUUCUCAUUCAAUAACCUAAGCUUUAAUUGGUUGUGAUAGUAUUCCAUUGACGAGCACAUCUCCUGGCUGGCAAGAGGAAGACUUCUCAGUGCACUAGUCCAGAGCCCUAGUCUUGGGUACCAUAUGGCCUUGAAAUAGUCCAAAAAAUCUGCAGCAUCCACAAAUUCUUCCAUAAAUUCUUCAAACAAAUCAGCAGUUCCAUCCCCUUUGCAGAUGCGCUGCACUGCCUGGCCUAGCCUCUUUGCAAUUACAGCACAGGUCUCCAGUUCCGAGCAUUUCUUAAUCAAGUUCUUAUGCCAUGCAUGACGAACCCGCCAA
rnacentral:misc_RNA from 1 species